GGGUUACUCCAGUUGCCGAAUGGACUGAUGUUCUAAGAGCGCACUCGAUCUCCGAUAAGUAGAGAUCCCAAUCUCGAUGGUCUUCAUUCAAAUAUGUCCUUAUGGCCGAUAUGACAGACUGAUUUACACGUUCGGAAGCAUUGGAUUGGGAUGAUGAUGCUAUUUCUCUCUGUUCUAUUUCUCUGAUCUGGGGGAAUUCAGGAUUGGACGUGGCCCCCCGGCAUAUUCCACGCCCUGAUUCAGGUUUCCCUGUUUACAGGACGGACAUUUGGGAGAAAUAGUCCCAGGUUUUCCACAACGAUAGCAAAAUAAAUUUCUUUCAGUGGAGUCGCAGUUUCUAAAGGUGUGGCCUUGCUUCUGGCAAUUCCAACACAAUAAUGUUGGCUUUGUUUUGCGAUUGAAUUGUAUGGCGGAUACUUCCUCACAUUCAGAGGAUUCGUGGUUGUAUUCGGACGAACCUUCGGCGUAUAUUUCGCUAACCUGUCGAAUUGGACGUGAUAGAGGUGCAUUUCUUAUAUCCCUUCUUGGGAAAUUCUUUUCCGCUUCAUUGCAUUCUAUCCUCAGCUGUUCAACGGACGAAACUUGAAUGGGGCUGGACUAAUUUAGCCCUCAUCUGGCCCAUAUUAUGGAAAAAUGUAUCUAUGGACUCAUUCGGUUGCUGUUUACGCUGAGCUAAUUCGGUUAUUAUCUCGAAAUUGGAUCUGGUGGAUUGAUAUUGGCUUAGCAAACUGUGCUUCAAACUGGGCCAAUCCGAAAACUGAUUUGUUUUCAGGGAUAGCCAAUACCAUGACUCGGCUGGACCGGAUACUAUUAAAGAAAAAUCCCUUAAUAUCUCUGCCCAUGGAAUAUGGUACUGUCCCUGAAAGUAUUCAAGACGAUACACGAACUCUUCAACGGAAAUACCACUUGAAAUGCCAUCAAACCUUAGUCCCAACUUGUCUAUUCGGACACGCAUAUUUUCCCUCAGUGUAUCAUUCGGAAAAUGACUACAUACUGAACCUGCCACAGAAUUGCCGUUGGUUGGGCGAUUGCCAUUAUUUCCUGUUUGUGGUGCAGACAAAUUGUCCAAGCCCUCUAAGUCAGAAUUAGACGCCGAUGAACUGGGUACAUUUCGAUUCAAGGUAAGUUCAGUUAACCUUUUUACAGCCUCUGAUAACCGUCCUAUCGUAUUCUUCAAACCACCUAAUUCAUUCUGGACCAUACAAACAUUGUUUUCGAGGACUCUUUGUUGCCUAAGGACCUCUACAUUACCAUUUCCUGGCGGUUCAGACCUGGCCCCUCCAAUCGGUGUCCCACCAGCUGAUGGACCCGAUGUAUUGUUGUUGCCUGUCCCCGAUCCUAUGGUCCCAGACAAAUCGGUGAUUUGGCUUGUACUAGCCUGGUUUCCAACAGACAUAUCGGAAUUUUUCUCUUUUUCGCCUGGGAUCGAGUCUGAAUGCUCAUAACCUUUCUCUAAUUGGACAAUAAUUUUAACGCCUAUAUUAAAUUGUAUUAGUUUAUUUAGAGUAUUUAUUUUUUUCUUAUCUAGAAC